rnacentral:misc_RNA from 1 species
UCUCAGAUAAUAUAAACCCUGUACUGUUCUAAACCAUUGUUUCUCAGAUAAUGUAAACCCUGUACUGUUCUAACCCAUUGUAUCUCAGAUAAUUUAAACCCUGUACUGUUCUAAACCAUUGUUUCUCAGAUAAUGUAAACCCUGUACUGUUCUUAACCAUUGUUUCUCAGACAAUGUUAACCCUGUACUGUUCUAAACCAUUGUUUCUCAGAUAAUGUAAACCCUGUACUGUUCUAAACCAUUGUUUCUCAGAUAAUGUAAACCCUGUACUGUUCUCACCCAUUGUUUCUCAGAUGAUGUAAACCCUGUACUGUUCUAAACCAUUGUUUCUUAGAUAAUGUAAACCCUGUACUGUUCUAAACCAUUAUUUCUCAGAUACUGUACACCCAUGUACUGUUCUAAACCAUUGUUUCUCAGAUAAUGUAAACCCUGUACUGUUUUAAACCAUUGUUUCUCAGAUAAUGUAAACCCAUGUACUGUUCUAAACCAUUGUUCUCAGAUAAUGUAAACCCUGUACUGUUCUAAACCAUUGUUUCUCAGAUAAUGUAAACCUUGUACUGUUUUAAACCAUUGUUUCUCAGAUAAUGUAAACCCUGUACUGUUUUAAACCAUUGUUUCUCAUAUAAUGUAUCCCUGUACUGUCCUAAACGAUUGUUUCUCAUAUAAUGUAAACCCUGUACUGUUCUAAACCAUUGUUUCUCAUAUAAUGUAAACCCUGUACUGUUCUAAACCAUUUUUUCUCAUAUAAUGUAAACCCUGUACUGCUCUAAAACAUUGUUUCUCAGAUAAUGUAAACCCUGUACUGUUCUAAACCAUUGUUUCUCAGAUAAUGUAAACCCAUGUACUGUUCUAAACCAUUGUUUCUCAGAUAAUGUAAACCCUGCACUGUUCUAAACCAUUGUUUCUAAGAUAAUGUAAACCCUGUACUGUUCUAAAACAUUAAUGGGACUUUUCAAUCGAUAAUUACAAUAGAAUUGCAAUCCCAUUUUGCACUCAUAUCUAACGAAUUAGAAAAGAAAUUUUAAAUACGACGGACAGAACCACAUGUCUAUACUAGAAUAGAAAUAUAUUCUCUGGUUUUAAAAUAAUUUCUCUUGUUAGGAGACAAAACAUUCUUGAAUAAAUUUCACAUUAGUUUGAAUAGGUUUAGCAAUUAAAAAAUCUAGACACUCCUUUUCUAAAAUAUUUUUCAAAAAGAUAAACGUAAAAUAAGGUUUAGUUGAUUAAAGAUGAUGGGAUAGGAAAGGUAGAUCACAAAGCUUAUACAAAAUCUUGUAAUAAUUCAAGGGACUGUUGUGUAAAUUUCAAAUGAAUCUCCAUUUAAAAUUGGGCAUGCACGAUUAACAAUUUGGUAGCCUUUUAAACUUCUUUCUGAGAUAUUGGCGUUUCUGUAAGAUUGAAAUGUUUUUAAUUCUCUCAAUAUCCUCCUUUUUUAAAAAAAAUCUCAAUUGAAGAUAAUCAAUUUUAAAAAAGAUAUAAAAGAAUAUCUCACUUAUACGUGUUCAGACAAAGCUUUUUAAAGGCAACGUUGUAAAUUGAAAAUGCCAUUCUUAAAUUAAAUGGGAGUAAAUCCCCUGUAUCUCCCCUCCCCUUGGUCAAAUUGGUUACGCCUGUGAUCCGACCCGAACGAACCCCGUCUUGGCGCAAACCACAACAGAUAUGACUCAUCUAUCCAUCUAUCUAACCAUUUAAAUUCAACUUAUUCAAUUCGAAAUCAUCAGAAAUUUUUUACUUCUGAAAUAAAGUUGUUUUUGUAGUUUUUUUAGCAAUGUCAAAAAGCGUAUAUUUGGUGAUUAAUUUGUAUCUUUGCCGCGUAUGAUGUAUGUAUGGCAUCAGUGUGUACUCAGGUAUAAUCAGUUGUAAGUUGGUAGUGCCGGUGUUAACAUUCCACAAAGUGCUCUGUGCGUUCUACGCAAAAUAUCUGUGCGUUCUGCACUGUAUAGUGUAUACGCAUAUUUUUCAACAUGGCGAGAUCUAAAAAUAUUGUUUUUAGUGAAGAAACUAAUCCGGAAGCGAUUAAGAUUGAAUUGUACCCUGACACCAAUGAAGAUGAAGAAGUUGAAUUAAAAAAUAAACUUCAGGUUCCAGCAGUUCGACACCUCAGUUGGAGAGAAUCCUUAACAGUCCCUUUAGAUGUCCUUCUACCUAGCCCUACCAGUCCUACUGGUCCUUCAGGCCCUUUAGACGAGGAGAUACGGACAUCUUGGAACAGACAGGGUACAUCUGUUUAUACGGCUUGUAUACAGUGUCCUUGUACAUCCAGACCCUCGAACAAUAGCAAGAGAAGACGAAGAAAUAUGUCCGAAGAUUCUCAAAAUUCCAACAAAUCUCUGAGAGUCCAGUUUGAUACAAAUUCUGAGGAACGUAGAGAAGACAGAAGAAAUGAGAGAAGAGGAGCAGAUGAAGUGGACGGGCAGGGAAGAAGCUCUGACAGACAGAAAAGAAGCUCGGAAGGAUUUGACCGGGAAGCGAGAAUAUCCGAGAGAUAUGACCGGAAGGUUGGAGAAAGUGACAGAAGAAUAAUUCAACAGGACUACAGAGAGCUUCAGGUGGCAGAGCUAAGCGAAAAGAUGGAUAAAGGGUCUGAAACCUGGUGCUUUUCUUGUAAAAAGGCUGUACACGAUGAACCUGAUGGAAUUAUGUCAAAGAGCAAAUCUUCCAACUUAGAACUAACACAGGACAAACUACUAAGAAGAGAAGGACUGCAAGUAGAGGAAAGAAGUGGGAAAAGGGGGAAUUCGCGUAAAUCUAGCUUCACGGCCCCGAUUAUAGAUGCAUUUAUCAGGCUCAUAUUUCUAAAGAUUCUAUUUGUUGAUAUUGGUAUCAGUCUGGGGGAUGUAGUCAUGGAUUUUAUACAAGCUAUUAAUCUUAUCCUAGAGGGACCUAGCUCUGUCAGUUUCCCGUAUGGAAUAUGUUUGCUUGUAACCUGCUGGAUUCCUAGUAUAUCUGUUCCAUUACACUUAGGCCUAGGCACUUACAAGGAUAUUUUCAAAACAAGGGGAACCUUUGAAGCUCUGGUUUUGAUUCUGUUGUAUAUCUGUUUGUUCCCCCUUAUUCCAACCCUAUGCUAUAUCCUACUACUGAUCACUCCAAGGAGUUCCUGGGAACAGCGGCGACGGUAUCGUGAAGUUGAAAGAAAGGCACAUGAGAUAAAAUCCAUCACUGCGUCUAUUGAGGCGCCAUUGCAGCUGAUAAUUAUCCUUUAUUUAAUGUUACGGGGCAUUCUUACACUACCGUGGAACGAGUCCACGUCGUCUUCCUGUAUAGAGGAUAAUCUGGGCAGAGUAGCUUGCCUUCCCUCAAUACCAAUGCUAGCGAUCACAUUUUCAAUCUUGUCAAUUAUAAAAUCAAUGUUUGAUCUUAACAUUCAUCCUCUUCUAGCUAAUCAGGAAUGUGGUUUAGGUUUCCUAAACUCAUCUCUUCAGCUAUUUCUGUGUUAUCUUCCAUUUUCCCUCUCCAACAUUAUAUUUAGAAUAUUUGCAUAUUCGUUUAUACUAGUUUACUUGGAUUACUGGUCCUGUAUACCUUUCACUAUCCUACUACUCUGUAACCUUGUAACGUUUGGAUUCUCAUUUACUAGACUUUACAGAUCAACUUCUGGCAGUAGACCGUCAGGGACUCCAGAAAGAGAAAUUAGAUUGGCUUAUUUUACAUCUGGGUUCAACACUGUGGAUAAUCAGCAACAUGAGGAGAUAGGUUGGAACCAGACUAUACUCAACGCAGUACCUGGAGAAGAAAUAGGUUGGGAUCGAACCAUCCUAGCUCCGCAAAAUCUUAAAUCUUUCAAUACUGCAGAUUUGGUCAAGAAUUCGGAUUCUAGAAAGGAUAAAGAUGGUUCUCCUUCCCCGAAGUCCUUAAAGAUGCAAGGAUCAGAGAUAAGUAAGAAUAUAUUUGUAUUCUCUGAACCCGGCAGUCCAUGUAUUGAAGGACCGGAUGAGAAGGAUGGAAUCCGUCCUGAUGGUCCUCUACAGCUCUUCAAUAGAUACAUCUCUCAGAUUAGUUAUGCCAGGAGUGAGAAUUCGUCCCUCCCUCGCGCGAUUAACGAGACAAACACGUCAAUAUUUUUCAAUUCUCUUUCCGGUCUAUUCUUCCCAUCCUGCCAUUCUCAUAUCAAACCAUUCUGCUCAACCCUCCAACCUCUUCCAGCAAUAGACCCUGAGAUAAAUAUAAAAAGUUUGCUGUCCUGGCAGAAUAGAGUUUUAGGACGUCAAGUCCUCCUGUACAACUCCGUCCUACUCCUGGUCCUAGUCCUGGUCUGGAUUCUGGUCACAUUCACCGAGUUCAACUACAACAGCAAUGUGUUGGACCCUUUUUGGUUUUCUAUAGUUUUCUCAAUACUAGUAUGUAUGUGGUUGCUAACUGUUCUUCUAUCUUAUGAGCUCAAACAUCCACUGAAGGAUACGCUUUGGAGCCUGUUCUCUCCUCUCUGCUCGGAUUCGGAAGAAAAUUCGGAAAAAAAUAGGAAUGAUGUAGCUGAACGCGCUGGGUUUGGAAUAAGUAGUUCACUAACAGGACGGGUUGGAAUAUUCUUUAUCCUCUCCGCACUUCUAGCUCUUCCCCCACUUAUAGCUCUUGUAGGUUUCAAGUUAAACAAUUCAACGCAGCCGUAUAUAUUCUUAUUGCAAGACGACUCAACACAAGUAGAUCUAGGAAUCCUUGCCGCGUUUCCAGUUCACGAUACAGGAAGACGACAAUUCAUAGUGGGACGAGUAGAGACUAGUUGUAGUAUAGACGAAAACUCUGAUUUCACCGGACGAAUUCUAGUUGUAAACUCUAGUAGUCCUCUUUGUAGAAUUCUUCUCAGUAGGACACAUUUCUAUAAUAUCACUCAGAGCACUGGAUCAUCUGGUAUUGUGAUACUAGACUCAACACCAGUCAAUAGAUGGAGGGUAUCCUCUCCAUACAAUAUCAACUCUUCAAAAUAUCAACAAACUUAUGGAGUAGAAAAUAUCCCUGUUUUAAUGGUCCGGGAACCUGAUUGGAGAAAAUAUGAUGCUUUUCUACAAAAUAAGAACAACAAGGUGAAUACAGUUUUGGUGUAGAGGGACCCUGUUCUGGUGGAAAAUAUUUAUCUAACAACGGAUCCAUUCUUGAGAAUAUUUGUGUAAAGGGAGAAUGUACACAGUAUGGUCGACGAUGUAUUUCUUCAUUUUUCUCAAA